rnacentral:lncRNA from 1 species
GGGGCGGGGGUCGAGGAAGCCGCGCCCCGAGGCUCCCAGCGCAGCCCCAGGAAGAAUCCUGCCGGGAACUAGAAGCUGUGCCGGCGGCCCUGCUCGCCGCCGACAACAGCGGGAGCGGCCAGGCCUGCCGCGAGCCUCCGCGUCCAGGUGGGGUCUCCGCGCCCCAAUUCCACCGACACCGCCAUCGGCGCACCCGACGCUGCCCCUUCCCCCACUUGCGGGAGCUCCCGGCAUCUCUAAAGCCCUCAACCAGAGUCCUCCAACCCACCCGCGAGGCUCGGGCACCAGCAAAGCGGCCCCACCCGCAGGGACCCCGCCCACCUGUGGCGCUACCCCGGCCUCUGCGGCCUUCCUCGCCGCUAGCGCGGACCCCACCUACGACGACCCCCGCGUAGGUGCUCCUGCCCACACCCCCCCCCCCCCGCCCCCCACCCCCGCUCCCCGCCCCCGCCAGCCCCUGCCCCUUUCCCUGCUCCUACCCCUAGCCGCGCCCCCGCCCCCGCAGCCCCUCCCGUGCGCUCGGGGCCGGGCGGGGCGGUGGUUCCGAGUCCGGCGCGCGCCGGCAGAGUCCCCAUUGCCUGCUGCGCACCCGGACUAG